AUUGAACGCUGGCGGCAUGCCUUACACAUGCAAGUCGAACGGUAACAGGUCUUCGGAUGCUGACGAGUGGCGAACGGGUGAGUAAUACAUCGGAACGUGCCUAGUAGUGGGGGAUAACUACUCGAAAGAGUGGCUAAUACCGCACGAGAUCUACGGAUGAAAGCCAGGGAUCGCAAGACCUUGUGCUACUAGCUCGGCCGAUGGCAGAUUAGGUAGCUGGUGGGAUAAAAGCUUACCAAGCCGACGAUCUGUAGAUGGUCUGAGAGGACGAUCAGACACACUGGGACUGAGACACGGCCAAGACUCCUACGGGAGGCAGCAGUGGGGAAUUUUGGACAAUGGGCGAAAGCCUGAUCCAGCAAUGCCGCGUGCAGGAUGAAGGCCUUCGGGUUGUAAACUGCUUUUGUACGGAACGAAAAGCCCCGGGUUAAUACCCUGGGGUCAUGACGGUACCGUAAGAAUAAGCACCGGCUAACUACGUGCCAGCCGCCGCCGUAA
rnacentral:rRNA from 1 species